rnacentral:rRNA from 1 species
UCUGCAACCCGACUCCGUGAAGCUGGAUUCGCUAGUAAUCGCGCAUCAGCCACGGCGCGGUGAAUACGUUCCCGGGCCUUGUACACACCGCCCGUCAAGCCAUGGAAGCCGGGGGUGCCUGAAGUGCGCUGCCGCGAGGAGCGCCCUAGGGUAAAACCGGUGACUGGGCUAAGUCGUAACAAGGUACC